AGGAAUAUUGGUCAAUGGACGCAAGUCUGAACCAGCCAUGCCGCGUGGAGGAUGAAGGUCCUCUGGAUUGUAAACUUCUUUUAUCUGGGACGAAACACUUCUUUUCUAAGAGGCCUGACGGUACCAGAUGAAUAAGCACCGGCUAACUCCGUGCCAGCAGCCGCGGUGAUACGGAGGGUGCAAGCGUUAUCCGGAUUCACUGGGUUUAACGGGUGCGUAGGUGGGUAUGUAAGUCAGUGGUGAAAUCCCCGAGCUUAACUUGGGAACUGCCAUUGAUACUAUAUAUCAUGAAUACCGUAGAGGUAAGCGGAAUAUGUCAUGUAGCGGUGAAAUGCUUAGAUAUGACAUGGAACACCAAUUGCGAAGGCAGCUUACUAUGCGGUGAUUGACACUGAGGCACGAAAGCGUGG
rnacentral:rRNA from 1 species